AGUGAACGCUGGCGGUAGGCCUAACACAUGCAAGUCGAACAGCAGCACAGUAAGAGCUUGCUCUUACGGGUGGCGAGUGGCGGACGGGUGAGGAAUACAUCGGAAUCUACUUUUUCGUGGGGGAUAACGUAGGGAAACUUACGCUAAUACCGCAUACGACCUACGGGUGAAAGCAGGGGAUCUUCGGACCUUGCGCGAUUGAAUGAGCCGAUGUUGGAUUAGCUAGUUGGCGGGGUAAAGGCCCACCAAGGCGACGAUCCGUAGCUGGUCUGAGAGGAUGAUCAGCCACACUGGAACUGAGACACGGUCCAGACUCCUACGGGAGGCAGCAGUGGGGAAUAUUGGACAAUGGGCGCAAGCCUGAUCCAGCCAUACCGCGUGGGUGAAGAAGGCCUUCGGGUUGUAAAGCCCUUUUGUUGGGAAAGAAAAGCAGCAGGUUAAUACCCCGCUGUUCUGACGGUACCCAAAGAAUAAGCACCGGCUAACUUCGUG
rnacentral:rRNA from 1 species